rnacentral:rRNA from 1 species
AUGAAAGCCAUAGCUUGGAAUUGCCGAGGUAUGGGCCGAGACCUCGGCAAUGAACGUAUGCUAUUUCUGGCCAAUCUGAUCCGUUCUACUAAAGCUCAGGUAACCUUUGUUUCCGAAAUCAAAUCUUCCAAGGUUCGGUCGGUUGAUCUUGUUAAUAGGUUUGAUGUUGCUAAUAGUUUUGUUGUUCCUUCUAGAGGAGCCUCUGGAGGGCUCUGGCUUAUGUGGAAUGAUGAACUCAAUGUGUCUGUUCAUAGUGCCUCCUUUCAUUAUAUUUUAGCUAAUGUAGUUCAUCUAGCCUCGGGUGUUCACUUUUGUUUGAUUUGUAUAUAUGGUGACCCCUACCAUAGGCAGACUAGUGCUAUUUGGAGUCAAGUUUCUGCUUUUGUGUAUGAUAACUUGGGUAAGCCCAUGAUGUGUAUUGGAGACCUUAAUGACAUCUUGUAUGAUACAGAUGGUUGUAAUGGUAGUGUUAAUUAUUAUCGCAUGUCUGCUUUUCGUUCCCUUGUUAAAAAUUGUGGUUUUUUUAUAUUGGUUUUAGUGGUCCUGCGUACACUUGGCAUAACAAACAACAUACUGUUAAUCCUAUUUACAGACGUCUAG